AACGAACGCUGGCGGCGCGCCUAAUACAUGCAAGUCGAGCGAGAAGACGUAGCAAUACGUUUGUAAAGCGGCGAACGGGUGAGGAAUACAUGGGUAACCUACCCUCGAGUGGGGAAUAACUAGCCGAAAGGUUAGCUAAUACCGCGUACGCUCCUUGGACUUCGGUUCAGGGAGGAAAGCGAUACCGUGGGUAUCGCGCUCUUGGAUGGGCUCAUGUCCUAUCAGCUUGUUGGUGAGGUAACGGCUCACCAAGGCUUCGACGGGUAGCUGGUCUGAGAGGACGAUCAGCCACACUGGCACUGCGACACGGGCCAGACUCCUACGGGAGGCAGCAGUAAGGAAUAUUGCGCAAUGGGCGAAAGCCUGACGCAGCGACGCCGCGUGGGGGAUGAAGGUCUUCGGAUUGUAAACCCCUUUCGGG
rnacentral:rRNA from 1 species